rnacentral:lncRNA from 1 species
CUUCUACCACCACUAUCACCGUGAGAAUAUCUUCCAACCACCGACCCACCUCAUUGCUACUACACCAACAGAAACCUUAGCCUCUACUUUGUUACUUUCUUUCUUUCCAGAACACCGUGCUCCGUCAGCACCAUCCAACGCCAAUCUUUUCCUCAUUCACCAUCAAACUUGGUAUUGUUUGUCGUCAACUUCUAGAUCUGAGAAAAAUCGAAGGAGAUACAGAGAAACGCAUAGAUGGGAAAUAUGAAGGCUGAUGGAGGUCUGCAACCUGGAUCAAGAAGGUGGGCUUUUUUAUUAAUGAUAAAAUGUGACGUUUUUUUUUACCUUUUCUUUUUCAGGUUUCUUUUGAUAUAAUAUAAAAUCGGAAGAGUAGCAAGAAAUGAAAAUCUCGAUUUAAUUUGUUUUUAGACAAACCCCUCUUUAUCAGAUACUCCCAAAAGUAAUUUUUAUUUGUGAUCAUUUUUGCUGGAUGUUGUCUUAUGAAACAUUACAAAAACAUCAUAAACAUUUUCUAACUUGAAAUUUUGCUUGUUUGAAAGAUUUUUGCUUUUAGGGGUUUUACUGUUGAUGCAAGUUAUGGAAAGAUUGCAAUAAAAGUUAUAUUUUGUCUUAAUUAACGUGCAUAUAACAUAUAAAUUUGCUAAAGUUUAUACUCAUUAUUGUUUAACAUUUUGUUUCAGCAACCCAAAUGACUAUUAAUGACCAUUGAAAUUGGUGAAGGACUAGAGAGGUGGAAGAUCCUAUUCUUUCAACAUCAUUCUCAACAUUGUAAGGGCUAUUAAGGAUUCUCAAUUCUGCCAUGUUUAACAUUUAGUUUUAGCAAACAAAACUAUCUAUCUUGUGUUUGUCAAAGAUAUGCAUUAUUUAGCUAUUUUUUGAUUUAAAUGAUUUACAAAAAAUCAUUUAUUUCCGGAAUUUAUUUCAUUUAUGUGGUUAUAUAAAGUUUGUAGAUGUUGUAUAUAUGUAUGUAUUUGUGUAUGUAUCUAUGUGUCUAUCUAUUUGUGUUUAUAUGUGUAUCAGUUUAUGUAUAAUAAUAAAUAAAAUAAUUUUUUCUCAGAUUUGGAAGUGCUUGGAGAGGCAUAGUAGAUGUUGGCAUGCCAAAGAUCGUACUUGAGAUGCUUGAAAGAAGGGUGCUUGAGAAGAAUUACUUAUUAAGGUAUGUUAAAAUGGUUUAUGAUCCUUAUGUUUGUUUGAGUUCAUUUCAACUAUUUUUGAGUUUUUAUGAUCCUUUGUUUUUCAUUUAUAUUGCUUAGUUAUUCCAAUGGUUUUCUUGGUCUUUAAAUGAACACCAUUUUUCCAUGAAAUUGCUCAAUAUCUAACCACAUCGUGAUAUUAUAUAGUAUCUUGUAGCAAAGUGAGCACAUUCCAUCUGAAGAUACACUUUGAAAGGUUAAAAAAGAAAUCGAUACACAUGCUCAAACAUCAUGUUCUAUAAUUUAUGAAAAUAUAUAAAUCAGUAAACAACCAAAUAGAGCCACGUCAUUUGUUAUAUAGUUUCAGUUUUACAUAAUCUAAGUUAUCUUAUCUUUCACUGGUUGUUUCAUUAGAAAAUUUAUAUUAUCUUAUAUAAAUAGAUUGCCCCGGCCCUAACUAAGAGUCAGAGGGGAUGUCGGAUGGUGUAAAUUAAAUUAUGCUUCUUUUAUCUUAUUGAACAUAAACCAAACCUUAAGGUAGUCCAAGAGCAUAAUUGGAUGUAACAAGGAGCAUGCAUUCAAUUCAAUUGAGGUAGUUUCUUUUAGUUGUUUUACUAGGGACAUUUACUUUCAUUGUAUUUCUGUUAGAAAGCUAUUUGUUUCAUCUAUUAUUAUUCACACCAUCUAUUUUUGAAAAAUGCAAGUACAAGUAAUGCACUUUAAUUUUAUAUUUUUUGAAUUUACUUUUAAAAAGUUUAGUUUCUAAUUUGGAACACCAUACUUCUUGCAUUAAUUCUUUCCAUUAAAACAAAAAUAGUAAUCUACUUACAUUUUUGUUUUGUAUUUCAAAAUUAUUGUUCAUUGCUAUUACUUGCGUGAUAGCAACUUACAUAAUUUUAAUGUAUUUACCCAUAAAAAGAAAUAAGCUUUCCUUUGGAAUUUUGGAACCAUAUGCCCUUUUACAUACAUUGACUAUCCUUAUUGUGGUUCAGAUCCUUGUUAAAAGAAUAACUCAUGGAUUUUCAAAAUGUUAUGAAUUGGCUUGAUCAUGUAACUACCCUCAUAUAGACUAUCUUUUUAAAUGUAUGAUAUAAUCUUAUCUUAUAUUUCCCUAUUUCUCAUAAAUAUUGUAAUAUUUUCAAAUAUACUUCCUACAUGAUUCACAUAAUCACAUGACUAUGGGUGACAAAUUCAAUCACUAAAAAAUCAUCCCUGUUGCCUAUAAUUGGUUUUGAUUACAAUUCUUGGCCAAAUUAAGUAAUUAUAUUUUAAAUCUUUACAUAUUUAUGGUUUCUUAUUUAAAAAUUGGCAUUUACUUUUGUUUAAACUAUGAAGCUUUUAAACUAUGAAGCUUAUAAAUUAUAUAGUGUAAAUGUUUUUUAUUUGUUAAUUUAUUUAUGUUUUUGAGACGUUGAUUUUUUUGAUGAUUUUCAGGAGAAUAAGCUUCGGCUAAAAUUUGGAAUACACUUAAAAUAAAGUUGGAUAUUUUGUUCCAAACUAAUUUGUUUUUUUUCCAUGCCCACGACAUAAAUUUUCUAAAAGGAUAUUACUUCAUAGUAACAUUUAAAGAGAAACAUAUUAUAAACUAGCUGGAUGCCCAUGCUCCGCAUGGGACGGAAGGAUGUCGGAUUUUUUGACUACACGACAGACAAACUAAAUGCCGUAUGUAGAAUUUGUUCGAUGGGUAAUAGGUUGGAACUGAUUACAUUUUUAGGACAUAAUCAAUGCGAUGGUUCGAUGUGCAAAUAUAUUAUUUAGUUUUUAUUACUUUACAAAUUAUGUCAAAAUGUUUAAUUAGUGUUGCGUCAUCAUAAGAAAAGACAACUCAUUUGAAUAAUUAUACCCAAACAAGAAAAGACAACUCAUUUGAAUAAUUAUACCCAAACAAGAAAAGACAACUCAUUUGAAUAAUUAUACCCAAACGAAUUUAUUGUUCAAAACAACAAAAGAGUAAGCAACACUCAAAUAUUAUAAAAUGGCUUGAUAAACAUCUCACCCUUUCUAACUUCUAUUUAAAUCUGUCACUUAUAAAGUCUAAUAAACUUAUUUAGUUUCAAACAUAAGAUAUUGACAUGCCAUUACCACUCUCUAUGUUUAUAGGAAUCAUAUAUAUUUUUAAUGAUUGGGCUAUAAUUAAUCAGUUAUAAACACAACCCUGCCAUUUCCUCUAUUGUUGCCCUCUGUAGUUUCACAUGUUUACAUAUAAAUACCUUCAGAUAACAAACAAUCAUUCACUAAAUGGAAAAUUACAAAGAAAAAAAUAUGAGACUAUCCCAUUGGAACUUUUUGCAACCGGUUGCUCAUUAAAAAACAAUAAAGCUACCAUUAAAUUAUUAAUACAAAGCAUACAUAACAACCCAUUAGAUGUUAGUAUCUUUAAUCAAAAAUAGAAGUUACAUAUGAUCACUUGCAGAAACGUGCCAACUGAAUUUUGAUAGUUGCUACUUGAUGUUGAUGAUAUUAAAAAUACUAAUGAUGAAGCUACUAAGUUUAUAAAUAUCAGCAAAAUUAUUGUCAUUACCACAUAUGAAACUAUGGCUAAUAAACCUACACUUAGCUAUAUACUUGUUAGUAUUUACCAAUUACCAUUUGUAGUUCUAUCUUUCACCCAACACCCAACAUAUCACCUGUUUUCAAAAAAAAAAAAAAUUUAAAAAUAAAAAAAAAUCCCAACAUAUGACCUGUAC